rnacentral:rRNA from 1 species
UACGUAGGGGGCUAGCGUUGUCCGGAAUCAUUGGGCGUAAAGCGCGUGUAGGCGGUCCGGUAAGUCCGCUGUGAAAGUCGGGGGCUCAACCCUCGAAUGCCGGUGGAUACUGUCGGGCUUGAGUACGGGAGAGGCGAGUGGAAUUCCUGGUGUAGCGGUGAAAAUGCGCAGAUAUCAGGAGGAACACCGAUUGCGAAGGCAGCUCGCUGGAACGUUACUGACGCUGAGGUGCGAAAGCGUGGGGAGCAAACAGG